CACGGACGCGCCCGGACGCUACUGGUUCGCCUUUGCGCAUGUGCAAUUGCCCUCGUACCGAACUCCGCAGGACGAAGCGUGUAUUUUUUUCCCAUCCAGACAACCUAGAGAAACCCAAAAAAGAGGGAAGCCAAGCGCCUUUCCAUGCGUAGAUUGCCCGCCACUUCCGUUAAGGCAUCUAUUUUACUGAUGAAAAGAGGCCUUCUGAGCGUUACCACAGCUCAAGCUUGGCGUCCCAGCCGGAUCUAGGUUUGAUUUGCAAUUAGGGAAAGUUGUUCAAGGGAACAAGUCUUAGGAGAAUUCUAAGGACAUGAGAUUGGAGUACCAGAAAUGGGGAAUUUUUCUUUUGGCCUUUCUCCAUUGUGGAAUUUUAAUGCUGAAAGAGGUUGGUGACACCUUCAGGUGAAGGCUUUCAACAUUCACUGUAUUCAUAAGGGCUUUUUCCAGUGUGGCAGAUCUGCUUUUGAGAUUCAGCUCUAUCAUCACCUAACUCUCUGACCCAAAGUAAGUUAAUUGUAAAAUGGAGAAGUAAAAGUAUCUAUUUGAGAGUGUGUCAUGGGGAUUACAUUAGAAAAAUGUGGAUAAAGCACUUAGCUUGGCCCUUGGUACAUGCUCCAUAAAAUAGCAAAUUAAGAAUCAACACAAAAUGGUUGAGAUGACCCACUUGCAAAUGUUAUCCUUCCUGAGAGAUCAUUUGUAACAGGUAGUAGGAGGCCUUAGAAAGUAACCUGCAGGCUGGGCACAGUGGCUCACACCUGUAAUCCCAGCACUUUCAGAGGCUGAAGCGGGCGAAUCACUUGAGAUCAGGAGUUCCAGACCAGGCUGGCCAACAUGGCGAAACCACGUCUCUACUAAAAAAAAAAAAUACAAAAAUUAGCUGGGCAUGGUGGCACAUGCAUGUAGCCCCAGCUACUCAGGAGGCUGAGGCAUGAAAAUCGCUUGAACCUGGGAGGCGGAGAUUGAAGUUAGCCGAGAUCAUGCCACUGUACUUCAGCAUGGGAGACAGAGCAAGACUCGGUCUCAAAACAGGAAAGAAAGGAAAGAAAAGAAAGAAAGAAAGAAAGAAAGAAA
rnacentral:lncRNA from 1 species